AGCGAACGCUGGCGGCAGGCUUAACACAUGCAAGUCGAGCGGGCAUCCUUGUGGUGUCAGCGGCAGACGGGUGAGUAACGCGUGGGAACGUGCCCUUCGGUUCGGAAUAACUCAGGGAAACUUGAGCUAAUGCCGGAUACGUGCGAGAGCAGAAAGGUUUAUCUGCCGAAGGAUCGGCCCGCGUCUGAUUAGCUAGUUGGUGAGGUUAUGGCUCACCAAGGCGACGAUCAGUAGCUGGUCUGAGAGGAUGAUCAGCCACACUGGGACUGAGACACGGCCCAGACUCCUACGGGAGGCAGCAGUGGGGAAUAUUGGACAAUGGGGGCAACCCUGAUCCAGCCAUGCCGCGUGAGUGAUGACGGCCUUAGGGUUGUAAAGCUCUUUUCUUCGGGACGAUAAUGACGGUACCGGAGGAAUAAGCCCCGGCUAACUUCGU
rnacentral:rRNA from 1 species